UGGUACUUGAGAUAACGUAAGGGAAAAUANUGAUAUUACCUUACUAUAAGUGUUGUCCAAUUUACUGGUGCCAGAAGACUCGGUAACGCCAGAAACGCAAACGUUAGUCGUCCUUAUCAGGCGUAAAGGGUAAGUAGGCUGCUUUGAAAGUUAUUAAUUUGAAAGCUCUAGUUAAUUGCUUCCUGUUUGCGCAAGCAGGCCAACGCCUGCUUGCGCGCAGGAUUAAGCAAAAAAAAGCUAGUAAUCAAUAAUGAAUUAAAGCUAGAAUCAAAAGGAGGAUAAGCCAAAUAAUAUUUAGAGUAGGGAUGAAAUCUGCAGAUACUAAAUAGAAUACUAAUGGUGAAAGCUUUUAUCUAAUAAUGAUUGACGCUGAGGAACGAAGGUGAGAAUAGAAAAUAGGAUUAGAGACCCAGAUAUCUCUCACUGUCAACGAUGAAUGGUGGUUGUUAGUUUUAAAAUAAACUAGUAACGAUGUUAACGCGAUAACCAUUCCGCCUUGCGAGUACG
rnacentral:rRNA from 1 species